rnacentral:rRNA from 1 species
UACGUAGGGUGCAAGCGUUGUCCGGAAUUAUUGGGCGUAAAGAGCUCGUAGGCGGUCUGUUACGUCUGCUGUGAAAACCCAGGGCUUAACCCUGGGCUUGCAGUGGAUACGGGCAGACUAGAGGCAGGUAGGGGAGAAUGGAAUUCCCGGUGUAGCGGUGAAAUGCGCAGAUAUCGGGAGGAACACCAGUGGCGAAGGCGACUUACUGGACACAUAUUGACGCUGAGGUGCGAAAGCGUGGGGAGCAAACAGG